rnacentral:lncRNA from 1 species
GCACACUUUGGCUUCAAGUCAAAGAAUGAGGUGUCUAACAACCAAGGGAAAAGGAAGAGAAGAAAAGGGGAAGCAUAAAGGUCCCUAAUCAACUUUGAAACAUUAGCUAAUCUACCUAAGAGUAUGUCUAAUAUUAUAAGAUGGGAACUAGCACAGGUUUUAAAGUUAGCUGACAGAAGAUUAAAGCAAGCUAUGCUAUUGUUGGCAUUGAUUCUCUAUUAGGUGAAAUAGAGUAUAUGACAUUCCUGACC